GAUUCAUGAAGCGCCACCUGCUUCCUGCAAAAAGUGCCAUGGCAGCUUCCUGUUUACUUUUCGAAGUUGGCGUAACUAACGCAGCUGAGUCUCGAAGCUUUCGUGUGCCGUUAUGCAUAGCGCAAUGUCAUUAAAUAGAUGGUGUGUGUAUUUGUGGAGCCUCUAGAAAGUCCUGCAUCGAUACGUGUGUGUCUUUGUAUACGCACCAUCUCUGGAGUGUGUGCAAAGUUCUUGGCCUCGGUCCAAAAUUUUCCCAAGCUACCAGCUGGACUAAACCGGAACUUCCCUGUCCGUCAUAAGUAAUGUGUCCAGAAGAGCCCCGUAAGAAGAUGGUGUGAGGAUGAACUCGGAAACUUUAGAUGCCCUGUUGUGAUGUAAGCCCCAACCUUCUAAGUUACCUGUAAAAUGUGUAGUCUUACCUGAAGAGCAAUUCAUUGUGUGUCAUACCAGCUGACAAAGA
rnacentral:lncRNA from 1 species